CCACAUGCAAUUGCAUAUACCUAAAUAAACUACAAAUAUUCAAUGUCAUUGUCAAGUAUCAUAAUUUAAUAGCUUGGUUAUCGAUCUUUGAUAAUAGAUAUUCUACUACUCAUAUCACGCUAUUUGGAAAACUGCAAUUUAUUAUGAAGUGACAUUUGAUACAGAUGAUCUCGGCUUACAAUUUAUGUACAUACAAAUGAUAAUGCAUAGAUAACCAUGUAUAUAUCUAUAGGUAUAAAUAUAAAUAAAAAAUGAAUGUGUUUUAUUACGUGGCCUGUUUCACGUAGGCACGGAUUGUACAAAAUUCUAUAAAAUCUUGAAGACGGAAUAAUUGUCAAAAAUUCUCGUAAUCUUCAGGAUAUUCUAAGAGGAAACUAAGAGAACGAUGCUCCCUAUAUUAGAGCUGGAGCGGAAACUCUUGAAUGGAAAUCCUAUGCUUGAUCUUGUUAAUGUAUUGAACACAGAAUCUUGCUUUAGAAGAAGAGGAAAGCCUAUGUUCAGCAGUGGGCAGGUAACAGUUGAUAUGACGAUGAUAAUAAAUAGCAGAACGCAACAUGGUUACAAAUAGACAACUAUAUAACAUCCCAGACAUAUCUACUGAUUGGUGAUUGAACAUUGAACCGUGUUAGUCAGUGAUUACCUAUACGUAUAGACAGUAUCAAUAUUGUUGACGUUUCUCGUUCCUCGCAGUGGUCAGUAAAAAAUAAUGUAAAUUCGCUCUUAGAAUGUCUUACAAAAAAUUUCCCUUUUAAAAUACAAUUAAAAAAUAAUACUAUCUUAAUUUCAUCUUUUUCCAGGAAAGCGCAUUGUUUUCAAUUUCGCAACACAAUGAACGCUUUUUGUUGCAUCAAAGGCUAAAGUUUAUUGUUUGUUCAUACUAAACUAGCAAGACUUUGUCCAUUCCAGUCAAAGUUCCUACUAAUAGCGAUGUCGUGAUAGAGCGAGUUGGGUCGAUUCAUAGCGAUUUAUCGAUUAAUUUGCUACAUAAUCAUCGAUUACGGGCAGUCUGAUGGCAACACUAAUUGUUGUACUAUUGAGUUUAUCGUCUUAAUUUCAGUGAUACUUCAUAGAAAAACGGCAGUAUAGCAGUACAGCUAGUAGUUAUACAUUCGAGAAAUUGUAACAUUUCAAAAGUGACUAAGUGCAUACGACAGAAGGUCCCUUCUCCCAACGGGCCUAUAGACCCUGAUCAAAGAAGCAAGAUUUACGGGUACACAUCGACACAAACCAAACGCCCGGAACUUGAAUGAUGAAAGAGAAUAUUACGGGAGAACUUCAACUGAUCUGGGCCACGUGUUUAUUCGUAAGAUGCGACUAAGAAAAUAAAGCACAAUUCCAUUAUAUCUUGGGAAUAAAAAGGAGUUGUGAUA